rnacentral:rRNA from 1 species
UACGUAGGGUGCAAGCGUUAAUCGGAAUUACUGGGCGUAAAGCGUGCGCAGGCGGUUCGUUGUGUCGGUGGUGAAAGCCCCGGGCUUAACCUGGGAAUGGCAUUGGAAACUGGCGGGCUGGAGUGUGGCAGAGGGGGGUGGAAUUCCACGUGUAGCAGUGAAAUGCGUAGAGAUGUGGAGGAACACCGAUGGCGAAGGCAGCCCCCUGGGCCAACACUGACGCUCAGGCACGAAAGCGUGGGGAGCAAACAGG